AUUGAACGCUGGCGGAAUGCUUUACACAUGCAAGUCGAACGGCAGCACGGGGCAACCUGGUGGCGAGUGGCGAACGGGUGAGUAAUGCAUCGGAACGUACCUUUCAGUGGGGGAUAACGUAGCGAAAGUUACGCUAAUACCGCAUAUUCUGUGAGCAGGAAAGCAGGGGAUCGCAAGACCUUGCGCUGAUUGAGCGGCCGAUAUCAGAUUAGCUAGUUGGUGAGGUAAAGGCUCACCAAGGCGACGAUCUGUAGCGGGUCUGAGAGGAUGAUCCGCCACACUGGAACUGAGACACGGUCCAGACUCCUACGGGAGGCAGCAGUGGGGAAUUUUGCGCAAUGGGCGAAAGCCUGACGCAGCGACGCCGCGUGAGUGAUGAAGGCCUCGGUUGUAAGCUCUGUGGAGGGGGACGGAAGUAAGGGUUAGGCGUAACAUCCGGCUCGAUGACGGUACCCGUUUUAGUCAAGCACCGGCUAACUCUGUGCCAGCAGCCG
rnacentral:rRNA from 1 species